rnacentral:lncRNA from 1 species
CAGCGAGAUUUGUGUCCAGCAGAAGACUGAGUAUGGCAUAUCAGCUCAUAAUCCCAUAAACUCCAACCAAUUACAUAAGCACUAACGAUGACCAGCUUACAGCUCCAAAAAAACAUCUAUGGAGCUCAACUAACCAGGACCCUUCAGAAGAACCAGCCCAUACUCAAUGGGAGACGUAAAACCAGAAAGUCAGGUUGAGAACAGAUGGGUAUGAAAAUAUUAUAUAGUGUCACUUCUGCAUUAUUGAAAAGAUAGGCACAGAUAACUGGAAACCUCAAAAUGAAAUUAUUCAUGGGUACAAAUAAGUACAUAUUUGAAUUUUUUGCAGGAUUCCAGAAUGGAAAGAUGAGGAAGCAGCAUUGAUGGAGGAGGAAGAGGCUCGAGCGAUUCAGCGAAGGCUUGCUGAGCAAUUAGAUGACCUUGACCCUGUCCUCACUUUUGCCACCUUGGGUGACUUAACAAAAGUAGUUGAUGAUGCUGAUGACAAGAAAGAAAUUAUUGAAACUGACUUUAGUCAAAUGAACAAGAGAGAUCGAAUGACUUUAUUACAAAAGAAUCUCCCGAGUUUCUAGGUUUCAUCACUGAUUUAAAAGUAUGUUCUCUCAUUUACCAAAUAUUUUUUCACUGCCGUAUCUUAGGACUGAUCAGUAUUGGAAACUGUGAAGCAAGAGUGGCAAAGUACCGCCAAUAGGGUGCAGAAAAUUUUUCAAAAGUUUUAAUGGAGCAAUCCUGAUUUUUUCUCUGAAAUUGAAUAUUUAGUGAAGGAAAGUUACCUCAAGUAAUUCUGAGAAUAAGAGAAUUUUCCAGUUACCUUUUAUUUUUCAAUCGGGAAAAUUUAACAAAAUAAAUUUCGAGUAUAUUUUUAGGGAAAGCAUGAACUGAGGUCUAUCUCUUUGGUGAUUAGAGGUAGAGGUACUUAUGCCAUUAGAAUAGAAUACUUUUAUGGUCAUUUAAGCUCAAUUGAAGUCUUAAAACAAUACUUUUAUUUACAUUUCAAUGAAUUUGCCACAAGAAAUACGAGGGCAAUCUUUUCAAAAAUGUUUAGUCUCCUUUGACCUUGGAGAAAUACAGGGAACUAGACUAAACAUGUUAUUUUGUUUGUUUUGAAAUUUUUGGUCUAGGCUACAAUCUGUGCAUUCUUUGCUUUCAUCGACUAAAUCUUUGAACCAUUCACAAAUCGCGAAGAUUACAAAGAGGGUUGACAUGCAAGCAGUGAUUUGCUCAGUCUUGAGACUCAAAGA